rnacentral:rRNA from 1 species
AGCCUGAACGCUGGCGGCGUGGCUAAGACAUGCAAGUCGUACGGAAUCCGCAAGGGUUCAGUGGCGAACGGGUGAGUAAUGUAUCGCUAACGUACCCCUAUGUCCGGGAUAGCUGAGGGAAACUUCAGGUAAUACCGGGUGACAUCAUUUUCCUGCAUGGGAGAAUGCUCAAAGGGCAACCGCAAAAGGGGAGCGGGGCGAGUAUACGGUAUCAGCUAGUUGGUGAGGUAACGGCUCACCAAGGCAAUGACGCGUAGCCGGACUGAGAGGUCGGCCGGCCACAUUGGGACUGAGACACUGCCCAGACUCCUACGGGGGCUGCAGUAACGAAUCUUCCGCAAUGCACGCAAGUGUGACGGAGCGACGCCGCGUGUGGGACGAAGUCCUUCGGGAUGUAAACCACUGUCAGGGGUAAGAAAGUUCUGAUCUACCCCAGAGGAAGGCACGGCUAACUCUGUGCCAGCAGCCGC